GCUCACUGUUCAGCUUCCCUGAACCUGAAGUUCAUCAAUUCAGCCAGGCUGGUUGACCAAACAGCUUCCUGGAUGGGGCUGUCUUCUCUCCCCCAUGCAUGGGACAUGGGGAAAGAAAGCUAAGGACGAGUUGGCUUUCAUGGUGUCCCGUGCAAGUGCCGCGUGGUCUGCUGUGGAAGAGUGGUCUGGAACAGUCCCACUCAGCCAUGGAUCGUGUGUUUAUGGUGCUGAAAAGCCAGUCUCUUACAUGUUACAGAUCCAAGCUGUUGAUAGAAGUGUUCAAGUGACUGUGAAGUCUGGGGCCUAGGAAGAUCCCCCUACCUAUCAGGAUGGGGGUAAGGGGUGGAGAUCAAAGAUGAGAGUGGCCCCGCAGCAGGUCUCAGCCAUUCCUAAUGGAUAUUUUAAUAGGCACUGAAAGCAUGCCAACACAUUCUUCCUCUGCGAAGAGGAGGCAGGCAGAGGGUUGAGACCUUCAGCCCCAGACAUGGUGGGCUGGCAAAAACUCUCUGUGGUAUUAUGUUUCUAAACUGAAUGGAUCUUCCAAGUGGUAUUUGGGGGUUAGCAGGGGGUCCCUUUGUCUUCUGGUAACCUUUCUGAAAGAAGAUAUAUUUGCAGGUCUGGCAGGAACUUCUCUGCUCCUUGGCCACAACUCUCUACCCUCCAUGCGAACUAUUACAUUUCAUGAUCUAGAAAACCAAACUAAACAAUGAAGCAAUAAAAACAGGCAAAGUGCAAUCU
rnacentral:lncRNA from 1 species